CCCCUCACUGCCCCCACCCCGACGACAUGUUUUCCCCAACUGGUCAGAAGUUCUUGUCUUACUGUCACAUGGUGUUAAAUUUUAGAAAAAGGAGACAUUACCGCUUGACAGACUACAACAGCUGAACAGCAACAGCUGGGAGGACACAGUUGCAGGCGUAACAUUCGGUCCCGGAGAAGGCAGCAACAGAUGCUUUCUGCAUUAGCACUGUGCUCCAUUUCUUCAGUCCUAUGCCCUUCCCAAAAUUGGCACUGCAAGACAUGAUACCUUAAAGGCAUCUCCAAAUGAGCAGGUCAGCCUUCUCAUCGAGCCCAGAGGAGAGCUGGACUCUCAGCCCAGGAUGUUCACAAAGCAAAGCAUGAGCAACAUCGCAGGGCCUGCUGUCCUGGUGGGACUGAGAUGGAGAGCCUUACAAGAAGGAUGAAAAGCAACUCAUCAAUUUCCGCAUAAAGGCACAACUGUGCCCAGGCUAGUCAGUUCACAGACCUGCUAGAAGCCCGUGAUGCUGCCUGUAAGCUUCAACACAGAGUUUUCUACUGAUUGCAGCUGCAGGCCUUCUGAAGAAGGGGAUGAAAACAGCCACGCAUAUCGGAGAUGCCAUUUCCUGUUAACUUUGAUGGUCUUGACAUACAAGAAAAUGUGCCGGAUCAGUCACACACUCAGAAGAAAGCUGUGGGGGGAGAUAAACACACCUGUACCUGAUAAUUGCUGACAACGUUCCAUGAAGCAGAAUGGUGUGUUUGGGAACAAAGUGUACCUCAUCGAAAAUCAGGGUUAACCAGCAACAUCUCUGAGUUGAACGGAGGUUCCGACGCGCGCACGCACACACACACACUCACACACACGCGCACACACACACACACACACAACUUCCAUCUUAGUCCGAUCUCUGUGAAUUGAUGCCAUUUAAUCAGAAAGGUGCUUCGGCUCUAGGACACUUCAUUUUAAUUCUGAAUGGGCUACAACAUUAAAACCUCCCACGUCCUGUCCCUCCUUGGACACUCUCUUUCCAAUGUCAGCCAAGUCAAUUGCCACGAAUUUUAAUCCUCUCCACACCACUGCCUUGUCUUUCCUACCCAACAAAAGUCACUGUUAGUUCAGAAAAAGAAUCCCAUAUCCAGGAACAAUUAGAGAAGCAAUCAAUAGUUUUAUGAAUCAGGAAUGCUCCCCCCCCCCCCCCGCAAAUUCCCCAGGAAUUAUCAAAAUAUGCAAAGAAAUUCAGUGAAGGCUAAUAAAGGUGACCCAAGAAGGCAUUAUUGCCACUGAAUGGACUUGUGCUCAUUACUGUUCCAGAAAGUACAGAUCAAUGCCACAAAGAAGAUGAUGCCACAAAACAAACUGCAUUCUGUUAAUGACUGUUACAGAAAUCUCCAUACAAAGAAAUCUAAGUGGGAUAUUUCUAAUAUGCUCACUACCAUGAUGACAAAACCAAGGUAUGCUUUUCGUCUAUGAAUUCUGACACCUUAAAUACAGAAUGAUCGUCCCCACGUAACACUCUUCCUUGUGCAUUUUACUUUCUUUCCAAGAACCUGCGUGUUUCCAUGGCUGUGCUCAAUGAACUUUUUAUCAGCCACAUUUUCACCUAAUUAACCCCCCUGAUUACAAUAAUUAGUAUUGAUUCACUCUUUGAAUGACUUCCUCGGUCUUCUAGCACAAUCUGCACUUGCUACAAAGUUCUAGAUAUGAAUACUAAUCAAAUGCUCACUUUCGUUUUUCAGCCCCAAAAGGAGAUUUUUGCAAAUGUAUACCCUCCUAUUUUAAAAAAAGCAAAACUGUCUGGUUUCAUUUUAACAAAUCAAGGAAUAUUCAUACACAGGGGGUUAGAGAUCUCAGUCUGUGGUCUGCUGAACACAUCUAUGUGAA
rnacentral:lncRNA from 1 species